rnacentral:rRNA from 1 species
CCUACGGGUGGCAGCAGUGAGGAAUAUUGGGCAAUGGGGGCAACCCUGACCCAGCCAUGCCGCGUGAGUGAAGACGGUCUUCGGAUUGUAAAGCCCUUUCGGACGUGACGAUGAUGACGGUAGCGUUGAAAGAAGCACCGGCAAACUUCGUGCCAGCAGCCGCGGUAAUACGAAGGGUGCGAGCGUUGUUCGGAAUUACUGGGCGUAAAGGGAGUGUAGGCGGGUAUGUAAGAUAGCGGUGAAAUGCCGGGGCUCAACCCCGGAACUGCCAUUAUGACUAUGUAUCUAGAGUAAUGGAGAGGAUGGCGGAAUACGCGGUGUAGAGGUGAAAUUCGUAGAUAUUGCGUAGAACACCGGUGGCGAAGGCGGCUAGCUGGCCAUUUACUGACGCUGAGGCUCGAAAGCAUGGGGAUCGAACAGGAUUAGAUACCCGUGUAGUC